AUCUAUUCUUUAUAACUUUCAUACAUAGAUUUCUUGGACAUACAUUGAUGUAGAACUCAAGUGGUCAUAUAAGAAACUCCAUACAUCUGUUAAAAGACAUAUAUAUAUUGUUAUCCAUUCUAUCCCAACCUAAAAAUUUGAAAAAAGAAAGAGGAAAACGAGGGUGGAGACCAUAAUCUGACUUGCCCUGUUCAAAGAUUCUUGAAUCCCAAGAUCCACCAGAAAAGUGCAUAGAGAGAUUCAGAGGAAAGUUUAGGUAAAAAAAGUUAUGCCAAAGGAUGUUAGUUGCCCUUUCAUUCUCCCACCUCACACCUGACCUGAGGCAAAUUAUGCAGGAGGCAUCACCAAGGAAAGCCAUCAGCAACCACCCGGCUUCCAUCUCCGGCCACCGCCAUCUGGGGCGGUGAGGUUGGU
rnacentral:misc_RNA from 1 species